rnacentral:precursor_RNA from 15 species
UUAGAUAGAGAAGAGAGGCUACUUGCGGACCUUUCUGUGGCUGUCGUGUUAAGUGUGAUUCUAUGAAGACACUUCACACACAACCACAGGAAGUUUUGCACGGUAGCCAUGACAACGCAUCCGGA